GGAUCUAAAGAGAGUAUAUUCCAAAUAAGCAUUGUGAGGGAAUCAAAAAUUCUUUCUCUUCAUUAUACAGUGAAUUCUAUUUGGAAUUUGGAAUAUUGACUCUUAUUUGGCCUGAAGUUGACGAUGUCUGAAUCCUAUAAACCGAUCUGGAAUGUGUUUGCAAAUGCUAUUAGAAAUACUGAUGGUAAUAGAAGAUGAUGGAGUACUUUCAUGGCUGAAGUGGUUUUCCCAAUUUGCACCACACUGAAACACUCUAUGAUUGAUUUUCUGCAGCAUAUUCAGUAAACACAUUGCAAAUGAAGAGGAAAAUUGUGGGUGAGUUGUGAAGCCUGCUUCAUCAAAAUUGAAUUUCAGCCACUUGCAAAUACCUCCCGUGGCCACAUAUGACUCACAGCUGUAUCCACUGAUGUCAGAAAUGGUCAAGAAAGAAAAUUAUAUGGAGUUCUUUCAGAAUAAUGCAACAUUUUUCAAUGCCUUUGAGAACUAUUCAGGUUUAUUUUGCACCUUUUCUGAAUUAAAUAAUUAUUGCAAUCUGAUCCAUUGAAGUUUAUGUUUCUAUCACAUAGCCAAAAAGAUACAAUAGGUUUUAUUAUAUUUUAAUCCUUGUUAGUAUCCAGAGUCGCAUUAUUCAGAUCGGCAAUCAUCUUAAUCGAGAUGUAAAUAAGAAUGCUCACAUAUAUAAUCUGGCCCACAGAAAUAAAGCAAGAAAUAAUAAUAAUAAUAAUAAUAUUG